CUGUGCUCUUACAAACGAAACAAAAUGUCAAAUUUACUUGUUGAUUGUUUACGUUUGAUGUUAUUGAUGUUUGAGAUUGAGAAAAUCUUAAAUCAAAUGAGGCACGAUCCUCUCACCCAUCGUCAGUCCAAGUUGAAACUGUUCGAAUUUAUGUAAAAAAAAAGAAACCCUGGCUUAGCAAAGGGUUUCUUGAGAUACACACCAUUGAAGCCAUUAAACAGAAUAAAAAUACCACAUAACGAGGUUGGCAGCUUCAGUAGGAGGAACAAGCCGUGCGCUAAACACUAUAAACAUUACAAACAAUGAACAAAGGCCAAGCAUAACAUUCCACAACUCCUCCACGUACUGUUACUCCAACCGCCGUCUCAACAGCGAUCGGAAUAUGCGACAUUUACUGAGAGAUUCCUGAGGGUGGUAGAACAGCAGAACUUGCAGACAUUGUGUGGAACGCAAAGCGGAAAGAGAAGAGACACUGACUGAAGCCCUGACUGAACUGGGAAAAGGAUUGGAAGCUUUAGCAGAAGCUAAUAAAUGGAUUAAAGAUAAAAUAUUACUACAG